AGUGAACGCUGGCGGUAGGCCUAACACAUGCAAGUCGAACGGCAGCACAGAGGAGCUCGCUCCUUGGGUGGCGAGUGGCGGACGGGUGAGGAAUACAUCGGAAUCUACUCUGUCGUGGGGGAUAACGUAGGGAAACUUACGCUAAUACCGCAUACGACCUACGGGUGAAAGCAGGGGAUCUUCGGACCUUGCGCGAUUGAAUGAGCCGAUGUAGGAUUAGCUAGUUGGCGGGGUAAAGGCCCACCAAGGCGACGAUCCGUAGCUGGUCUGAGAGGAUGAUCAGCCACACUGGAACUGAGACACGGUCCAGACUCCUACGGGAGGCAGCAGUGGGGAAUAUUGGACAAUGGGCGCAAGCCUGAUCCAGCCAUACCGCGUGGGUGAAGAAGGCCUUCGGGUUGUAAAGCCCUUUUGUUGGGAAAGAAAUCCAUCUGGUUAAUACCCGGGUGGGAUGACGGUACCCAAAGAAUAAGCACCGGCUAACUUCGUGCCAGCCGCCGCAGUAA
rnacentral:rRNA from 1 species